rnacentral:lncRNA from 1 species
UUUUUUAAGUCUCAACUUAUAAGUCAUAAGUCCCUACCUGUUUGUUUACAGGGACUUAUAAGUCCCGAGUCCCUACCUGUUUGUUUACACGGACUUAUAAGUCCAUGUUGCACCUAAUAAUACACUUGUUCACAUGGAUCGUCAUCAGCCAACGCGUACGACACACAGGAUAAGCACCGCUGCAACGAGGCUCGGGAGAGGGCCUGUCCGGCGAUUGGAGGCACCGCUGCAA